rnacentral:rRNA from 1 species
GGCGCACGGGUGCGUAACGCGUAUGCAAUCUACCUUUCACAGAGGGAUAGCCCAGAGAAAUUUGGAUUAAUACCUCAUAGUAUAACAUGGCCGCAUGGUCGAGUUAUUAAAGUCACAACGGUGAAAGAUGAGCAUGCGUCCCAUUAGCUAGAUGGUAAGGUAACGGCUUACCAUGGCUACGAUGGGUAGGGGUCCUGAGAGGGAGAUCCCCCACACUGGUACUGAGACACGGACCAGACUCCUACGGGAGGCAGCAGUGAGGAAUAUUGGACAAUGGGCGCAAGCCUGAUCCAGCCAUGCCGCGUGCAGGAUGACGGUCCUAUGGAUUGUAAACUGCUUUUGCACAGGAAGAAACAACAUUACGUGUAAUGUCUUGACGGUACUGUGAGAAUAAGGAUCGGCUAACUCCGUGCCAGCAGCCGCGGUAAUACGGAGGAUCCAAGCGUUAUCCGGAAUCAUUGGGUUUAAAGGGUCCGUAGGCGGUUUAGUAAGUCAGUGGUGAAAGCCCAUCGCUCAACGGUGGAACGGCCAUUGAUACUGCUAGACUUGAAUUAUUAGGAAGUAACUAGAAUAUGUAGUGUAGCGGUGAAAUGCUUAGAGAUUACAUGGAAUACCAAUUGCGAAGGCAGGUUACUACUAAUGGAUUGACGCUGAUGGACGAAAGCGUGGGUAGCGAACAGGAUUAGAUACCCUGGUAGUCCACGCCGUAAACGAUGGAUACUAGCUGUUGGGAGCGAUCUCAGUGGCUAAGCGAAAGUGAUAAGUAUCCCACCUGGGGAGUACGUUCGCAAGAAUGAAACUCAAAGGAAUUGACGGGGGCCCGCACAAGCGGUGGAGCAUGUGGUUUAAUUCGAUGAUACGCGAGGAACCUUACCAAGGCUUAAAUGUAGAUUGACCGGWYUGGAAACAGUUUUUUCGCAAGACAAUUUACAAGGUGCUGCAUGGUUGUCGUCAGCUCGUGCCGUGAGGUGUCAGGUUAAGUCCUAUAACGAGCGCAACCCCUGUUGUUAGUUGCCAGCGAGUCAUGUCGGGAACUCUAACGAGACUGCCAGUGCAAACUGUGAGGAAGGUGGGGAUGACGUCAAAUCAUCACGGCCCUUACGCCUUGGGCUACACACGUGCUACAAUGGCCGGUACAGAGAGCAGCCACUGGGUGACCAGGAGCGAAUCUACAAAACCGGUCACAGUUCGGAUCGGAGUCUGCAACUCGACUCCGUAAGCUGGAAUCGCUAG